AGGGCUGCGAAGCCGCGAGGUGGAGCGAAUCCCAUAAAACCGAUCGUAGUCCGGAUCGCAGUCUGCAACUCGACUGCGUGAAGUCGGAAUCGCUAGUAAUCGUGAAUCAGAAUGUCACGGUGAAUACGUUCCCGGGCCUU
rnacentral:rRNA from 1 species